UACAGAGGGCGCGAGCGUUAAUCGGAAUUACUGGGCGUAAAGCGUGCGUAGACGGUUAUUUAAGUCGGGUGUGAAAGCCCCGGGCUCAACCUGGGAAUUGCAUUCGAGACUGAAUAGCUAGGGUACGGUAGAGGGAAGUGGAAUUUCCGGUGUAGCGGUGAAAUGCGUAGAUAUCGGAAGGAACAUCAGUGGCGAAAGCGACUUCCUGGACCAAUACUGACGCUCAUGUGCGAAAGCGUGGGGAGCAAACAGG
rnacentral:rRNA from 1 species